rnacentral:lncRNA from 1 species
UCAUCUCGGAGAGCCCUGGUCCUAGGCCCCCAGUCCGGUCAUCCCGUCGGGUGUUCCUUCAUCCCUCUCCCAUCUUCCCGUGGGCUUCGAUGGAAGAACAUGGAAGCAGAGACGAGAUCCCAUCCAUGGCCACCGGCGACGAGGCAGAAGUCAAAGCGGCGCAGAACUGAGGGUGCUCCUCGAAUGCUAUCCAGGUGAAGUAAUCGACGGCGCCGGUGGAGACGAGGCUCUCGUCCUCGAAGAAGAUGUUGAGCGGCGUCAUACAGCUACUGCUGCCGGCGGCAACGGCGGCUGGUGAGGAAGAAGCUUCCCCUUUCUCAUAGGCAAGCGCGGAGGCGAGCGUCAGGAUCUGGCUGCGACGGCAGAGGAGGGCCUGGUGUCCGCCGUCCUCCUCCUCCUCUUGGUAGCCAAGGAGGUCUCGGAGAUUCGACGAAUGCUCUAGAUUUCCUCCGGUGGAUCGCCGCCCACGUCUGGCACGUCAACGGAGCCACAGCCCCUGCCAGCCUCGCGGCCGCCCCCGCCAAUCCUUGACCGGUUCCAUGCCAUGCUCCGGGAGAGGGAGGAGGAGCCACGAGAGGCCACCGUUGAAGUCCCACCCCUGCCCCUCAUCAUCGGUGAGAUCCUUCGCUUCAACGAGCUCCUCU